rnacentral:rRNA from 1 species
GACGAACGCUGGCGGCGUGCUUAACACAUGCAAGUCGAGCGGAGCGGCGAACGGGUGAGUAACGCGUGAGUAACUGCCCCCCUCUCUGGGAUAACAGUUGGCAACGGGUGCUAAUACCGGAUAGUUGGGGAUGACUCGGGUCCUAUCAGCUUGUUGGGGGGGUAGUGGCCUACCAAGGCGACGACGGGUAGCCGGCCUGAGAGGGCGACCGGCCACAUUGGGCUGAGAUACGGCGCAGUCGCCAACGGGGGGCAGCAGGGGGGAAUAUUGCACAAUGGGGGAAACCCUGAUGCAGCAGCGCCGCGUGCGGGAUGACGGCCUUCGGGUUGUAAACCGCUUUCAGCCAUGACGCGGUAGUGGCAGAAGAAGCACCGGCUAACUACGUGCCAGCCGCCGCGGUAAUAC